GGCGGGAGAGGGAUGGAAAGUAGAGACGCUGUCUACGAGUCAGUUUCUGUACCAAAUGGAAGAGACUGAAAAUGCACACACAUAACACGACGAAAGAACACACCACAGUAACUAACCAAUUAGAUGGGCUUAGCUUAGUAUAUCGAGCACGAUUGCAAUGAUGGGACGGCAACAGGAAGGGAAUGGAUGAGACACAAGACGAUAUGUGCAGGCUUGUUCAGUAUGGUACAUUUGGCAGUUAUGAUAAAAACAAUCUUGUUACGUUCACUUCUUAUAUGUUGAUGUCAUGUUAUAUGUCUACCCUGUCUAUACACUUGCUGAUGUAAAGAUAUCCAUAUGUGGGGGUGUUGCGCCAA